CUUCCCUGGGGCACCAUCCUCUUCCUGCCACUGGCUCGUUACACACUCCCGUACGGCUAGGAUGACAGAAGGGGCUGCUUGAUGUCUCCACUUGGCAUUUCUUCCCAGUUGGAAACAUGGAGAUCUGUGUCCUCACUAACCACCCAUGGUGGCAGUUUCCACAAAGAGAAACUGAGGCUCUGUGAACCACCUUCUCACAACAGGUAUAUGUGAGAGAACACUGAGGAAAAUCCAAUCCCUUGGGAUCAUGUGGUGCCACCAAUCAGCCACUGUGUGCUCACUACAGCGCUCCUGAAGCCUGAAAGAAAUGCUAGCCUGGGAGAGUUCCAUCGAGAUAAAGUACGUCAUGUUUGGGAAGGUCUGGCAGCAGGAACAGGAAGCCGACUGAUCCCAUUUUUCAACCACACCCAGAAAGUAGCAAGGGAGAACUGAAAGUGAGGCGGGUCAUAAACCCCCAAAUCCUACCCCCGUGCACACUCCCUGAAGCAAGUACAAAAGGUUUGUGGAAUGCCAUUUUCCUCCUAAUUGAAACAUUCCCUCUGGGAGGUAGAGUACCCUCUAGAGGGAUACUCAAGGGGUAGAAAAACAAUUCACACAUCUAGGAAAACAGGACCUUGCAAACAUUUUGAGGGCUUGUCCACAGCAAUGCAGAGAGGAGCCAGCAACUGCUUGGGAGAGGGUUCUGACCGACUGAGCUGCAGAGAAAAAGGAUUCCUGGGCUGUCAAGCUUCCCUCAAGCUAUGCUGAGGGCUCCAGACUGCAGCUAUUUUUUUCAUCUUCACCUGUGCUGGGGUGGCAUUAUUUUUAGUAAUUCAGCUGCUUUUGAAUCAUCCCUACAUUUGUAAGUAACUUCUCAUGUAUACUCUUAUGCAUAACCUUUCAUGUAGAACUCCAA